GCCGGAAUACAUGUUGCUCAGUUGGGAGAGCGUAAGACUGGAGAUCUAAAGGCCCCCGGUUCAAUCCCGGGUUUCGGCA